CCCUUCGUAGUUUAAUGGAUAGAAUAGGAGCUUGCGGAGCUUCUGAUGCAGGUUCGAUUCCUGCCGAAGGGA
rnacentral:tRNA from 2 species